CUCUCCUCCACUUCCCUCUCCCGCACAUCUCUCUCCCAUCCUCCCCAUCCGCCGCCGCCACACCAUUGCCGCCGCCUACCCUCGGCGGGCGGUCCACCCCCUCCUCCUUCUCCGCCGUGGCGCGGUGCUCCGCGGCAACCUCUCGCUGGUCUGGUCCGGCUUGAGCCCCUUCGCGCUGACCCCGACCCCCCUUUCUUCCAAGCUGGCGCGGCCACCAUCGACGGUGAGGGCCGCAGCAGGAGCAGGAGCACGGCGGGAAGGAGGAGAACGACCAGGGGAGGUCGAGCCGCCAUCCGUCGCCGGCCGUCGACACCUCCUGUUCGACCACACAGCGGGAACACCGGACCGUUGUCCUUGUGUUCGUGCUCCUCCAGGAAGAAGACAACCCAAGGAGUUCUCCUCCUCAAGGUGUCAACCGUCCUCGAUCUAAUGCUCCUCCUAGGUCUUCUGCGAUGGCUUCCUAGCGUAUCGGCGCUGGUUGAGAUGCUUGUGGGAUUCCCGCAGUUGAUUUGCUAGGUAUGUCUCUAUUCUAGACGUUGCUCGUCUCUGAUUUUCGUCUUCCUUUCCUUGCAGAUUCGUCCAUUUUCACCAGUGCCUCCUUCGAUCUGCCCCUCUCGCUUGUCCAUUCAUGGAUUUAUAGGUGUGUGGAAGUACAAGUACGCUAUGGCUAACUUGUUCCCUCUUUUAUUGUUGUUGUCGUGUCCUAUAUCACGUGUUCUCCGGCUGAAAUUAGGCUGCUCCUGCCAUGUCUAUCAGUGAAAUGCCUCCUUACAUGAUAAAGCAGCCUACUCUUAGGUACAAAUCUGGGUGUCAAUUCUGCCUCACCUUUCUAGCCGGCAGUGGUUCGGUUUGCUGCAGGUUCUCUCAGUGUUCAGGGCAAGGCAGACAACAUGUGUCGUCAACCGUCGACAAUUCAGCUGUCUCCAAAUGAGCAGCUUGCUGCUGAAGAAACCUUCAAGUUGCACUGCAAGCCAGUGGAGCUCUGCAUUGUUAUCCAAAAACGAGCCAUUGAUAAUCCAGCUUUUCUACAAAGAUGCCUCCGUUACAUGAUACAGGCAAGCCGCAAAAAGAGGAAUACAAGGGUGGGGUGUCUUGACUGCUGCUUGCCGGUUCUUUCCUCAGCAAGCGGGCGACUCGAUGUGAUCAUGGGCAAUGGCCACAGUUGGCCGUCGGCCGUGCUCACCCCUACUUCGUCCACCUACUCCUCGAGAACUCCACUGGCCUCCCGUGCGUGCACGGUCGAAGGCUGGUGGCCCAACUCGCCGGCGGGUCGGUGAAACGCCACAACCCGACGCUUUGCUGAGUUUGGCAUCGACUACAAACCCGCUAUGGUGAGCUCAUCUUCACCUCUGGAUUACGCCUCUGGUUGCUCUGAGUCGUGACCGUCGAGCCCUGGCUAUGCCAUGCUUGAUUCCUAGCUGAUCAUCUUGUGGAUGACUGAGUGUGGAUAGUUUUUGUGGUGGUGGUCACCAGGCUACUGGUUUGUUGUUGGUUAUGGAGAUGUUGUAGGUUUAGCAUGUGUCUUAUCAUGGCCUCUGUUGGUUAAUUGGCCUGGAAACUGUGCUCUGGUGGUUGCAAAAUUGUAGUGGCUAGCUGGAACACCUAAUUCCGCCUUUGCAAUGAUAAACACCUUGCUUGUAGUAUUUUGUGAUGUUCGGCUGUCCGGUAAUGUGCUACUUAGUCUUCGGUCCCUUGCUAUGUAACCAACUUGCUCUAAUUAUUAAUAAUGGUAUUUCGACUUG